ACACACACAUAUAUAUAUAUAUAUUGUUUUUCUCAUCUUGCUGCUUUAACAUGUUACUGUACUACCUGCUGCUGCUGUUGCUCCUGCUGCUGCUGCUUUAUUCUCCCAUAUACGUAUGCACACGCCCGCCUGAACAAAUAAGCCCUUUCCAUUAUUUUUGGUUGGAGUUGGAUGGUUGUGAAGGCAACUCUUGUUCGGAAUCACAGAGUGGCUGGCUUCUUUUCCUCUUGAUUAUUAGACAUAGCACUGGCUAAACAAGCCAAGCUCGGGAUCUUUAGGUUUGGUUUGCCUAAGGGAAUUUUACCAAACCGGAGCUUAAGCAGUUAAGCCUCUAUUCUAGAUCACAGGAGGAAUGAUUGUUGGAGCGCAUAUUUGUGGCAUUUUACUGUUUUUAAUACUUAAUGCGUAGCGUAGACCAAAACUAAUAGUCGAUUUCCCUCCACAAUUUGAUCUUAAGACAUGGCCAAUUAGACAAUCCUAGUUGGUUUGCAGAAUAGUACUUCAGAUGCACGUUUUACGCUUGAAGACAG
rnacentral:misc_RNA from 1 species